rnacentral:rRNA from 1 species
UAUUGGGCAAUGGAGGAAACUCUGACCCAGCGACGCCGCGUGCGGGAUGAAGGCCUUCGGGUUGUAAACCGCUUUCAGCAGGGAAGAAGCGAAAGUGACGGUACCUGCAGAAGAAGCACCGGCUAACUAUGUGCCAGCAGCCGCGGUAAUACAUAGGGUGCAAGCGUUGUCCGGAAUUAUUGGGCGUAAAGAGCUCGUAGGUGGUUCGUUACGUCGGAUGUGAAAAUCUGGGGCUCAACCCCAGACCUGCAUUCGAUACGGGCGAACUAGAGUGUGGUAGGGGAGACUGGAAUUCCUGGUGUAGCGGUGGAAUGCGCAGAUAUCAGGAGGAACACCAAUGGCGAAGGCAGGUCUCUGGGCCAUUACUGACACUGAGAGCGAA